rnacentral:rRNA from 1 species
AGAGUUUGAUCCUGGCUCAGAACGAACGCUGGCGGCGUGCCUAACACAUGCAAGUCGAACGGGGAUAAGUAGCUUGCUAUUUAUUCUAGUGGCGCACGGGUGAGUAACGCGUAGAUAAUCUGCCCUAGACUCUGGGAUAACAUCUCGAAAGGGAUGCUAAUACCGGAUAAGCCCACGGGGACGUGAGUUCUUGCGGGAAAAGGGGGCCUCUGCAUAUGCUCUUGAUCUAAGAUGAGUCUGCGUACCAUUAGCUUGUUGGUAGGGUAAUGGCCUACCAAGGCGACGAUGGUUAGCUGGUCUGAGAGGAUGAUCAGCCACACUGGGACUGAGACACGGCCCAGACUCCUACGGGAGGCAGCAGUGGGGAAUUUUGCGCAAUGGGGGAAACCCUGACGCAGCAACGCCGCGUGAGUGAUGAAGGCUUUCGGGUCGUAAAGCUCUGUCUAGAGGGAAGAAGUGAUAUUCGGUUAAUACCCGGGUUUCUUGACGGUACCUCUGAAAGAAGCACCGGCUAACUCCGUGCCAGCAGCCGCGGUAAUA